UUAACAAGAAUGUUUGGGACAAAUCCCAGUGGGAAAGCCCGCCUCGGCGGACUACUAGACAUUCUGACC
rnacentral:sRNA from 12 species